rnacentral:rRNA from 1 species
GUGUCAGCCGCCGCGGUAAUACGUAGGGUGCGAGCGUUAAUCGGAAUUACUGGGCGUAAAGCGUGCGCAGGCGGUUAUGUAAGACAGAUGUGAAAUCCCCGGGCUCAACCUGGGAACUGCAUUUGUGACUGCAUGGCUAGAGUACGGUAGAGGGGGAUGGAAUUCCGCGUGUAGCAGUGAAAUGCGUAGAUAUGCGGAGGAACACCGAUGGCGAAGGCAAUCCCCUGGGAUAACACUGACGCUCAUGCACGAAAGCGUGGGGAGCAAACAGGAUUAGAAACCCUCGUAGUCC